rnacentral:lncRNA from 1 species
GUUUGAUUGAAUACCACAGGAGGACUCUGUUUGAGCAUGCGCAUUACCCUGUCAGCAUGGAAGAGGAAGUUUAGUUCCAGAAACACCUGAGCAGAACAUGUCUCCUAUUCAAACCGCUACGGAGAGCUGCAGAAGGAGGAAGAUGAGGAACAGGGUCGUCACAGCUACCGUCCGGAUCGCCCUCCACCCCCACGUAGAGUCAGCUUCAGCCAGGACACCUCUCACCCCUACUACGAUGUGGCUCGACACGGGAUCCUCCAGGUCACAG